GGGGAACUUCGAAGACCUUAUCCCUAAUCCUGGGAAAGAAGGGCCUUGGCCUUCCUUCAGUGCCCAGUCGAUACCAAUGGGGGUAAGCUCCCAAGGGGGAUCGUACUGUUGGAGGGUUCCGUCCCUGGAAUGGACCCGUCCAAUCCUUAGGGGGCAGCGUGGGAUUUUGCCAUGGCGAAAUCUGAUCAGCAUGCCGGUGGUGAAGAAGUUUUGGAUGUAAAGCCUUUAGUGGGAGAAGGCGUAAGUUAAACCUGCGCUUGACGUACCGACGAAAAGCCCGGCUAAUUUGUGCAGCAGCGCGGUAUACGAGGGGCAACGUUAUCGGAAUUUUGGCGUAAAGGCGCGCAGGGGUUUUUAAGUUGAUUGAAACCCCGGCUCAACCGGGAACGCAUCCAAACUGGCAAGCUGAGUUCGUAGAGGGGGUGAAUUUCCUGUGUAGCGGGAAAUCGUAGAUAUUGGAGGAACACCAGGGGGAAGGCGACCACCGGACUGAACUGACCUGAGGGCGAAAGCGGGGGAGCAAACAGGAUUAGAUACCCUGUAGUCCACGCCGUAAACGAUGUCAGCUAGCCGUUGGAUCCUGAGAUCUUAGUUGCGCAGCUUACGCAUUUAAUUGACCGCCUGGGGAGUACGGCCGCAAGGUUAAAACUCAAAUGAAUUGGAGGGGGCCCGCCCCAGCGGGGGAGCCUGGGGUUUAAUUUGAAGCCACGGGGAGGACCUUUCCAGGCCUUGACCAUCAGAGAACUUUCCAGAGAAGGAUUGGUUCCUUGGGAAAUUUGACGCCGGUGGUGCCAGGGUGUUGUCAACUUGUGUUGUGAGAAGGUGGGGUAAAUCCCGUCACGAGGGCCACCCUUGUCCUUUGUUUCCCGCCCGUAAUGGUGGGCACUCUAAGGAGACUGCCGGUGACAAACCGGAGGAAGGUGGGGAUGACGUCAAGUCAUCAUGGCCCUUACGCCUUGGGCUACACACGUGCUACAAUGGUCGGUACAAAGGGUUGCCAACCCGCGAGGUGGAGCUAAUCUCACAAAACCGAUCGUAGUCCGGAUCGCAGUCUGCAACUCGACUGCGUGAAGUCGGAAUCGCUAGUAAUCGCGAAUCAGAAUGUCGCGGUGAAUACGUUCCCGGCCCUUGUACACACCGCCCGUCACACCAUGGGAGUUGGUUGCACCAGAAGUAGCGUAGUGCUAACCUUCUGGA
rnacentral:rRNA from 1 species